rnacentral:lncRNA from 1 species
UGGCGGGGCGGGGCCUGCUCGAGUGAGGCCGGGAGCGGACCGCAGCCCGCUGGAGGUGCCGGGGGCGAAAUGCUGGCGUCUGCUCCUCCGUCUCCCAGAAUCCUGCCCUGGAAAAAACCAGCGCCAACCGCCGGUUUAACUGAGGACGGAUUUAAGGCAUUACGAAAGACAGCUUUCCCCUUUGCUCGGCUCUCCUUCUCUCUCCUGCUGCCCUGUGAAGAGGUGUCUUCUGCCAUAAUUGAAGAGGAAGACAGAGCUCUUACCAGGGGGAGGCAGAGAUGGCACAGCAAGAGACAUGCCCCCAGAAUGCCACCAAUGCCCCAGGACAGGCCCACCCAUGGGACCAGGUUAUCGGGAUAACCUGGGAGGAUGGGGUGGAAUCUGAGGGGUGAGCCUUCUUCCCCAGGCUGGAAGUGGGCGACACGAGACUGGCACCUCUACAUCUGAUUGUCCCCCAAACCCAGCAUUUAUGUCGUGAGCAAAGAAAGAAAUCAUGUUACUUCUUCCAGCUGA